rnacentral:rRNA from 1 species
AUGAUGUUGGCUAUGGGCCUGGGGGUGUCGAUGCAGUCUCCUGGUCCAGCGGCAUCGUCCACCGUCUCUAUUGCGUUGAAGAGCGCCGCUUCGUCUACGGUCACUUUCGCCGGGCGCGUUGUCCAACGCCUCGACAACACCAGGUACGAGAGGAGCGCCCCUUCGUCCACGGCCACCUCCCUUGGGCGCGUCGUCCGCCGCCUCGACAACACCUGUAUGAGAAGAGCACCUCUUCGUCCGCGGCCACCUCCGUUGGGCGUGUCGUUCGCCUCCUCAACUCUGAGAAGAGUGAUGCAUCGUCCUCGGCCACCUCUGCUAGGCGCGUCGUGCGGAGGUCAUUCUGCAAAAUAG